ACAGGUUUGGAACAACAUGAGGGUGAGUAAUUAAAGACAUAAUUCAAAUUUAUUGGGUGAACUAACCCUUUAAGGAGAAAUACAGCAGAAAAGUUAUUGAGCACAUUUCUAUGAGUAUUUGCUACAUCACACAAAGAGGCAAUGAAUGUGUGCAGUUGUUCUUUUUAUCUUUGUUUUCCUAGAAAGAAAACAAGUACAGAUCAUAUAUACUCAUCAGACGACGAGGCAGCAGAACAAGCACCCAUUAAAAAAAGAAAAGCUGCAAACAAAGCAAGUGUUCCACCUGCACCAAAACCUCCAGCCAUUCCAAAACUUAAAAAAAAAGGUCCUAAUGUGCAAUCUCAGGUUUCACAGAGCAGAGCAGUAAACGCUCUCAGCAACUCAUGUGUCAAUCAGCAACAAUGGGACACGGAAGACCAACAACAGACCUGGUGUGAGAGUCUCCCCAGCUUCUAAGGUAAAUAA